rnacentral:rRNA from 1 species
UACGUAGGGACCAAGCGUUGUUCGGAUUUACUGGGCGUAAAGGGCGCGUAGGCGGCGAAUCAAGUCAGCUGUGAAAUCUCCGAGCUUAACUCGGAACGGUCAGCUGAUACUGUUUUGCUAGAGUGCAGAAAGGGCAACCGGAAUUCCUGGUGUAGCGGUGAAAUGCGCAGAUAUCAGGAGGAACACCGGUGGCGAAAGCGGCUUCCUGGACCAGUACCGACGUUCAGGCACGAAAGCGUGGGGAGCAAACAGG